GGUCUAUCAGCUCAGUUGUUUAGAGCGUGGCGCGAAUAACGCCAAGGCCACAGGUUCGACCCCUGCACGGAUCA
rnacentral:tRNA from 1 species